UGCUAAUCGUUGUCUCUUUCGCCAC
rnacentral:piRNA from 1 species